rnacentral:lncRNA from 1 species
CAUUCUAGUGUAUUGCUGAGAUCAUCCAGGUGAUAAAACCUCUCUUUUUUCUCUUUUUUUCUCCUAAAUGAGGCUUUUCCCUCAAACCACAUCCAUUCCCAGCAGAACUGGGGGAUUCUCAGACAUCCUUGUAACGAGUUCACAUGGCUGCAGGAUUAGAAUUUGCAGUCAUUGGAGCUGGAUUCAGCCACGGUGGGAAAAACAAGAAGUGGACACCUGCAGUGCCAGUGCUGAGGUGUGAUCACAGCCCUGCAGCAUCCCAGAAAAGCAAAGGACUGGAUGGAGUCCCAGGGCCAUGUUGUCCAAGGUCCUGUUUCUUGCUGCCUGGGACCAUGUUCAAGAGGUCAGAGGAACCCAGAUCUCCUGAUCAGAACAUGGCCAGAAGAAUCCUGGAAGACUCUCCAGCCUUGGGGACUGUUCAAGUUGUGAGUGUUGUUUUUGGAUGAUGGCAAAGGUUUAAUAAAUGCUGCAGCUGUAGAGAGC